CUGCUUUGCUGACGAGUGGCGGACGGGUGAGUAAUGUCUGGGAAACUGCCUGAUGGAGGGGGAUAACUACUGGAAACGGUAGCUAAUACCGCAUAACGUCGCAAGACCAAAGAGGGGGACCUUCGGGCCUCUUGCCAUCGGAUGUGCCCAGAUGGGAUUAGCUAGUAGGUGGGGUAACGGCUCACCUAGGCGACGAUCCCUAGCUGGUCUGAGAGGAUGACCAGCCACACUGGAACUGAGACACGGUCCAGACUCCUACGGGAGGCAGCAGUGGGGAAUAUUGCACAAUGGGCGCAAGCCUGAUGCAGCCAUGCCGCGUGUAUGAAGAAGGCCUUCGGGUUGUAAAGUACUUUCAGCGGGGAGGAAGGCGAUAAGGUUAAUAACCUUGUCGAUUGACGUUACCCGCAGAAGAAGCACCGGCUAACUCCGUGCCAGCAGCCGCGGUAAUACGGAGGGUGCAAGCGUUAAUCGGAAUUACUGGGCGUAAAGCGCACGCAGGCGGUCUGUCAAGUCGGAUGUGAAAUCCCCGGGCUCAACCUGGGAACUGCAUUCGAAACUGGCAGGCUAGAGUCUUGUAGAGGGGGGUAGAAUUCCAGGUGUAGCGGUGAAAUGCGUAGAGAUCUGGAGGAAUACCGGUGGCGAAGGCGGCCCCCUGGACAAAGACUGACGCUCAGGUGCGAAAGCGUGGGGGGCAAACAGGAUUAGAUACCCUGGUAGUCCACGCCGUAAACGAUGUCGACUUGGAGGUUGUGCCCUUGAGGCGUGGCUUCCGGAGCUAACGCGUUAAGUCGACCGCCUGGG
rnacentral:rRNA from 1 species